AUUUUACCCCGAACAGACCGUCUGUGACAUCAAUAACCAUGACGACCAGAUAACCGCAAUAAUUAACCCAUUUCAUGGGAUUGCGAAAUAAAACUGACUAGAUGACAAGUUGACAUACCUUUGAAAGAGGGAUAUCCGGUCCUUUUUUUGAUCAUCACGGCACAUGGCAGGAGCUAAAUUUGAGAAUUGUGCUCACAUCUUGGAUGGAUUUGCCUUAUACGUAUUAGGAGGUGAAUAUAAAAGUUUCUUAUUCUUGAGAAAAGAAAGAAAUAUCCACUUCAGUGUUUUGGGAUUUGAAUUAUUCUAUCUUCCUAAUCAAGCCGUAAUCGUUAGACCUCACUUCAGGCCGUCCACUAUAUACAGGCCUUUUCAUUUUUGGCCCCUUUCGCUUUAUCUCUUCGUUGUACGUUGGUUACAUCUUGACGAUUAGCUUAUUGUUACCUUUAUUACGGUACUACAAGAAGUCUCUGACAACCAGAAAAUCAUUGAUUACAACUAUAAUACUUACCACAGAAUCUCAAGAUCAUUUAUGAACACACCAGAUCUCCACAAAGUUUCGAACGAAGAGAAAGAUAUACGCUGGCAACACGUUGAUCAGGCGAGCUCUUUCCAUUAUUUCUAUUGCUUUACUUAUAUUAAUAUUACACCUCUUGUUGCUUGUCAAUUAUCCUGUUUAUUGGUUACAUUUGAAUGCUGCUUUUUGGCUGUGAAGCCUUAUCUACCAGUGAUUCUGGAAAAAAGAAUACAACUAACUAAAUAUCACAACUCUGAAAUUAUAUUUACUUACCACUUACUAGUUUAUAUAUAUAUAUAUAUAUAAACUCUGAUGUAUAUAUACAUAGGGGUAUCAAAUGAUCAUGUCCUUCUCCCUAUGCUGAUUGAAUGUUUCAAUGUUAAAUCUAUAUGUAGUUAAGUCUACUUGCAACUUGCACAACGAAUAAAUCCACUUCCUAUCA